GUACUUGUCUUCAGGGGAAUAUUACCCCGCUGGAAAUUAAGCAUAUAAGUAAGCGGAGGAUAAGAAACUAAAUAGGAUUCCCUCAGUAAUGGCGAAUGAACAGGGAUGAGCUCAGCAUGGAAAUCGGGGCCUGUGGCCUUGAAUUGUAGUCUCGAGAAGCAUUGCCAACGGAGGCGCAGAUGUAAGCCUCUUGGAAAAGAGCAUCAACGAGGGUGAGAGUCCCGUUUGUCAUCUGCAGUCCCCCGUGCACGGUGUGCUUUCUAAAGAGUCACGUUCCUCGGGAUUGGAGCGCAAAGUGGGUGGUAAAUUUCAUCUAAAGCUAAAUAUAGGUUCGAGACCGAUAGCAAACAAGUACCAUGAGGGAAAGGUGAAAAGGACUUUGAAAAGAGAGUUAAAAGUGCCUGAAAUUGCUGAAAGGGAAGCGAAUGGAACCAGUGUUGCUUGGCAAGAUUGGUGCGUGCUAAUGUGAUUGGCUGCUGCUUCAGCGCAAGCGUGGCAGUGGUUUUUGAUCAGGACGUGCGUGUUGUUUCUUGCCUUGUGUGUCAACGUCAGUUCUCAAUCGAGGAAAACGCCAGGGACAUGGUAGCCUGUCCACGGGUGGGUGAAUGUGCUUGGUUGAACUCAUUUGUGAACUGUUUCCUGCGUGUCUGGUUGCAGUGCUCUCUGUCCUUGGGACUCCAAUGUGGGCUUCGGUCUGCUUGGGCGUCCUGGGCGACAAGGGUAUCUCCCUGACACAACGACGAUGACUAAAUGGUUCUAUUCGACCCGUCUUGAAACACGGACCAAGGAGUCUAACAUAUGUGCGAGUUCACGGGCGGUUAAACCUGCUUGCGCAAUGAAAGUGACUGCUGGGAUCUUUGCACCAGCAACCGACCAAUCAAUUGAGAGAGGUUUGAGUAUGAGCAUAUCUGUUAGGACCCGAAAGAUGGUGAACUAUGCGUGGUUAGGGCAAAGUCAGGGGAAACUCUGAUGGAGGCUCGUAGCGAUACUGACUGAAAAUCCGUUCGUAACA
rnacentral:rRNA from 1 species